rfam:Camelus ferus unplaced genomic scaffold scaffold1677, whole genome shotgun sequence.
GAUGGUAUAGCUUCGUGGUAGAGUGCAUGCUUACCAUGCACGGGGUCUUGGGUUCAAUUCCCAGUAUCUCCA